UACGAAGGGGGGCUAGCGUUGUUCGGAUUUACUGGGCGUAAAGCGCACGUAGGCGGAUCGUUAAGUCAGGGGUGAAAUCCCAGAGCUCAACUCUGGAACUGCCUUUGAUACUGGGUAUCUUGAGUAUGGAAGAGGUGAGUGGAAUUCCGAGUGUAGAGGUGAAAUUCGUAGAUAUUCGGAGGAACACCAGUGGCGAAGGCGGCUCACUGGUCCAUUACUGACGCUGAGGUGCGAAAGCGUGGGGAGCAAACAGG
rnacentral:rRNA from 1 species